rnacentral:rRNA from 1 species
UACGUAGGUGGCAAGCGUUGUCCGGAUUUACUGGGCGUAAAGGGCGUGCAGGCGGCUAUCCAAGUCAGGCGUGAAAGCCCCGGGCUUAACCUGGGAGGUGCGUCUGGGACUGGGUGGCUAGAGUUCGGGAGAGGAGAGUGGAAUUCCCAGUGUAGAGGUGAAAUUCGUAGAUAUUGGGAAGAACACCGGUGGCGAAGGCGGCUCUCUGGACCGAGACUGACGCUGAGGCGCGAAAGCGUGGGGAGCAAACAGG